CCCCCCCCCCAAAACCAGUGAUGCUCACUAGGGUCUCUUGUGUAAUUCUACUACUGCUAGUGUAAUGGCAUUGAGACAAACAAAUGUCAAUGAACGCAAUUAAACAUACUAUGUUUAUCAUUGAGUUGUACAUAAAUGUUUGUCACAUGAUUAGGUGGUGAAGAGGAGUAGCUUCUAUCUGCUCACUUCCCAGCAUGCCUUGCAAACAACUCAUGGGUUAACAUAGAAGAGAUCAACAUUUGUAAAGAAAUUAGCAAUAACAAUGAGUCAGUAGAGUCUCAAGCAAGUCAACAUAAAAACAUUCAUCAUAAAAUAAGUAUGUGUAAAUAGAACAAUAAAUGAUAGAAAUGUUUGUGUAGAAAAUCUCACAGGUCUAACUAUUGGAGUCAUUCAAUCCUAAUUCAUUGAACUUGUAGAGCAAAUGCUUACAACACUUGGUAUUCAUGAGAUUGUCUGCACUACGAACUUAGCACAGUGAUGGAUGACCUGCUACAACUUUGAACUUGAAUGUUUAUCUAAUAGCACUAGUGACCAUCACUUCAAAUGACUGUAGUUCAAAUAUACUAGCCAUUACAUCUACUUUGAAACUCUCAAUACUCUUUUGUUAUAGUUGUAACAGACACAAUACACCGAUAUUUCUACAAAUACUACAGACUUCAAUCUGUCACAUGGUCAGACUUCAAUCUGUCACAUGGUCAGUCACUUC